UAUGAUAUAUAUGAAAAGUUUUUUUAAAUAUAAUUUAGCUUGAUGAUUUUGAAGUUCAUAAUCUUUUUCGUUCUCCAAAAGAAUGAAAAACCGAUGAGGAUUCCCCGCGUUUGUUAAUUUGGUGUUGUUGCUUUGCUAAACAAGUUCUAUCUCUCGUACAGAAUUACACGUGAUUCAUCAUUGCUUUCUUUAACGUUUUGAAAACACAUUUUGCCAUGACACGCGUUCAAUCCGCGGCCAGUUAACAAUUCUCACAGAUCACCAACGAGGCGGAUAAGAUUGCAGGCACACUUUUCGCACGUUCGUUAUCUUAGAGUGCGUACCAUUGCACGCAUUAUGCUUAUGAUGUAUCCUAUCACUUCAUCAUUUAUAUUCUUUAAUAUUUGAUGACCAACAAUGAUAAAAUGAUACAUCAUGUACAUCAUGCGUGAAACGGAACGCAUCCUUAGUCGCGAGCCGCGUGCGAGAGCCAUGGAGCUGAGGUACCAACGAGAUUUCGGGAAAUGUGAGUCUCUGUUCUCUGUUUGAAAAAAAAAGAAAAAACCAAUCACACACAUACACUACGGCAGUGUUUAUCCCAUUUCUCGUCCAUCCUGGAAUAGGACCAUCCAUCGAGAGGCACCAGAGAGUUGGAAUCCUGGGUGAAUAUGUGGAUGGUUGAUAUCCGUGAACGUACCUCUUGGAUGGAACAAAAAAAACGAACGAGCAAGUGUUGGCAAGUUUUUGAGAUGCAAGUGGUGGAAAGACGCGAAAGAGCGAGCGAGCGAGAGAGAAAGAAAGAGAGGUGAAAGGAUCUGAAGAGUAAAAGGGGAGAGAGAGAGCGAGAGAGGAGUAUAUAUUUUUGCAGGCUAAUAGAAUUUGGUGGGAUGAUGAUGAUGAUGAUGAUAUAAUAAUAAUAAUAAUAAUAAUAUUAAUAAUAAUGAUGAUGAUGAUGAUACACUGCGCCGAGAGAAGUUGCUAGACAAGUGUGGAGCGAGUGCUUUUUUGAAAGCGUGAGGAAAUUUUUUUCGUAAGCGUGACUGCGAAACACAACAUAAGUGAAAGUCGGGUACCCCCGCUAGACGAUUUAAUGUCUUAACGCGGUUUUGCUUUCAGAUUGUGAGAGCGUACGUCGCGAUCUGUGGCGGUGGUUGAUCACAAUUUAAUCCGCACUUGCUCUCGCGAAAGAAGAGACAGAUAGAACACCUGAGGCAGACGCGGACGUAAACUUACGUUUGGAAAAGUCUACUUAAUUUUGAAGAGGUAUACUGGCUUGAACAUAACUGAUACAAACUGAGGACAAUGUGUGCAUGAUUAAAAUUCAGUUAUCUAUUGAACGUCGCAUGUGAGGAGUUCCAGUAUAAUUCACGAAUAUAUGUCGAACAUUAAAGUAAAAAAGUC